AAUUAUACCGCUCUAGCCAAUCAGAAAAUAGCUAGAGUCUAACGUCGAGACGAAUCAGUGCGCAUCAUAGUGCGCAUGUCAUCAGUCUACAGUUGAAAAUCGUGGUGAUAGGUCACGUUUCACCGGCUGAGAAUGAACAUCUUUGUGAGAAAUUAUUAUUUGAUCGUAAGCAGAAUGGCUUCGAAAGUGUAGUUUCUACGCACACCAUGGCAAUUGAGAGAUAAUUCGACAACUUUGACACAGAUAUGAUAUUUUCCAUUUCUUGGAUGGAUCACGACAACAUCAAUGGCAAUAUAGAUUCUUCGCAUCUAAUGGUGAGUUGCAUAUAUUUAAGUUUCUCCGAUCGUUCGAUAAUUUUAAUUAGAAUAUAUUUAACAUAGAUAUUUGAAA